CUGAAGCUGCUUAGGUCACACAAUAUAUGUGAUAAAUUUGUGGUUAUUCUGCAGAGUCUGUGGAAACCUUGGCACCAUUACCAUUGGAAGAUAUAGGCGAUCUUCAUUGUGAGGAGGCUGUAGAUAUUGAGCACGCCACCUCAGAGUUCGUGAUAGGCUCCAGAAGAGAUGACGGAAAGGUUUAUGCAGGCAGUGGCUUCUGGUUAGACCAGAAAGCCUGGGACUGCUUGUUUAGUGCCUCCACGGACUCUAUGUUCUGCAGAAGUGCCGCUACUGUGUUGUAGACUGCAGACCAGUUAAAGACGAGGAGUGUCACGGGUACACUUUCGAACAAAGCAAGUUCGCUGGGUUACACAGAAGCCAAGCCGCCACUCACGCCGGAAAAAAUCUCGUCUCUAAAGGCGAUGCUUGCCAUCUACAUGGGCGACGUGACAAAGGAGGUGGCGGACAAGCGAAUGAAAAUGGUCCGCAAACAUUUGUCACAAAAGCUUGGUGACGUGCAGCGGCGCUGAAUUGUGUGUAUCAGCCACGGACAUUAAGGUGUUCAAUAAAUCUAUCAGUCGGAGCCUUCAGGUUCCCAGAUGUCACAUCAAUGCAUACUCUCAUGCCAUGGAGGAAGCGUAGA
rnacentral:lncRNA from 1 species